rnacentral:rRNA from 1 species
UCUGGGAAACUGCCUGAUGGAGGGGGAUAACUACUGGAAACGGUGGCUAAUACCGCAUAACGUCGCAAGACCAAAGAGGGGGACCUUCGGGCCUCUUGCCAUCAGAUGUGCCCAGAUGGGAUUAGCUUGUUGGUGAGGUAACGGCUCACCAAGGCGACGAUCCCUAGCUGGUCUGAGAGGAUGACCAGCCACACUGGAACUGAGACACGGUCCAGACUCCUACGGGAGGCAGCAGUGGGGAAUAUUGCACAAUGGGCGCAAGCCUGAUGCAGCCAUGCCGC